ensembl:rRNA 5S_rRNA 5S ribosomal RNA
GCUUACGGCCAUACCACCCUGAGCACGCCCGAUCUCGUCUGAUUUCCGAAGUUAAGCAGGUUCGGGCCUGGUUAGUACUUGGAUGGGAGACCGCCUGGGAAUACCAGGUGCUGUAAGCU